UGGCGGCAGGCCUAACACAUGCAAGUCGAGCGGAAACGACAANAUUGAAUCUUCGGAGGAUUUGAUGGGCGUCGAGCGGCGGACGGGUGAGUAAUGCCUAGGAAAUUGCCUUGAUGUGGGGGAUAACCAUUGGAAACGAUGGCUAAUACCGCAUAAUGCCUACGGGCCAAAGAGGGGGANCUUCGGACCUCUCGCGUCAAGAUAUGCCUAGGUGGGAUUAGCUAGUUGGUGAGGUAAUGGCUCACCAAGGCGACGAUCCCUAGCUGGUCUGAGAGGAUGAUCAGCCACACUGGAACUGAGACACGGUCCAGACUCCUACGGGAGGCAGCAGUGGGGAAUAUUGCACAAUGGGCGAAAGCCUGAUGCAGCCAUGCCGCGUGUAUGAAGAAGGCCUUCGGGUUGUAAAGUACUUUCAGUUGUGAGGAAGGGUGUGUAGUUAAUAGCUGCGCAUCUUGACGUUAGCAACAGAAGAAGCACCGGCUAACUCCGUGCCAGCAGCCCGCGGUAAUACGGAGGGUGCCGAGCCGUUAAUCGGAAUUACUGGGCGUAAAGCGCAUGCAGGUGGUUCAUUAAGUCAGAUGUGAAAGCCCGGGGCUCAACCUCGGAACUGCAUUUGAAACUGGUGAACUAGANUGCUGUAGAAGGGGGGUAGAAUU
rnacentral:rRNA from 1 species